rnacentral:RNase_P_RNA from 1 species
GUAGGAUGACACUUAGCUACCGGUCAUAUGACUGAGGAAAGUCCGCCCACUAUCGUAAUCACUCUCGGAAGAGAGGUCUCGAAAGAGACGGCAACGGCUCAGAAACGAAACCACCCACGAAAUGGAAUGAUGUGGCGACACAACAGGCGACUGUUGUAAGAUAACUCACUGACGUCUUCAUGGGAAAGGAUGAAACGGCGAGUCCUGAUUUGUGCAAGCGAAACGCGCUAAGUAUAAUGCUAAGAAAGACUGUCUGCAUGAAUAGAAAACCUUCAACGGUUGGAUAUUGACAGAGUCUUACAAAAGGCGGCUUAUAGUCGUCCUAC